rnacentral:rRNA from 1 species
AUACGGAGGAUGCGAGCGUUAUCCGGAUUUAUUGGGUUUAAAGGGUGCGUAGGCUGUGCGUUAAGUCAGGGGUGAAAUGCCGUCGCUCAACGACGGAGCUGCCCUUGAUACUGGCGUGCUGGAGUACGGAUGCCGUUGGAGGAAUGAGUGGUGUAGCGGUGAAAUGCUUAGAUAUCACUCAGAACACCGAUUGCGAAGGCAUCUGACGAAUCCGUCACUGACGCUGUGGCACGAAAGCGUGGGGAUAGAACAGGAUUAGAUACCCUGGUAUUCCACGCCGUAAACGAUGAUGACUAACCGUCGGCGAUAGACAGCCGGUGGCCAAGCGAAAGCGAUAAGUCAUCCACCUGGGGAGUACGUCGGCAACGAUGAAACUCAAAGGAAUUGACGGGG